rnacentral:lncRNA from 1 species
CAGCACAUCAUCAUGUUGAGAGCAGAGCCACCACCAGUGUGCAUCCUGCCCUGGGGCCCAAAAACCCCUAAAUCUCCACAUCCUUGGGGUCCCUGGGACAUCCCACCACAUCCACCCAGAGGGAUGCAGAGUCAUGAUAGCAGCUGUGCAGCCAAGACCCCAGAAUCUGAGCACACACGGUAUUUCCACACCCUAGAAAACAGGCAGUCUAAUACAGUGGGAAGGCUGCCCACGGAAAAGAGGGAGGCAACGCAGGCACUCCUCAGAAUCCAAGAGCUACCUGCCUGAAGCCUGCUGCUGCUGCCACCAGCAACCCCAACAUUUGCAGUAGCAGAGCAGACGCCCCUCCCAUAGGACUGUGGAUCCGCCUGACCAGGCCCACCACUGAUGGCAACCUGCUCCCUCCAGAGCAAAACUGCUGCACACCCACACAUGCCCUCCAGGUGCCAAAGAACCAGCCUGGCCAAGAUAUGCCACUACUGGCGACCCCAGCCCCUCCAGCAGCAGAUCGGUUUCAUGCUCAAGUGCAUCCCUCAGGGACCCAAGGACCAGCUGUCCAGGGCUGCUGCCAUCACCAGUGACCCUGACCCCUCCAGUGAUGAAGCCACCCAGGCCCACUGUUGUCAGAGAACCUGCCCACUCCAGUGGUAGACCUGCCAUACACCCACGCUCCCUACUGCCGGAGCCCCCAAACUGAUCUGCCUGGUGUCCCUGCUCUCAGCAAAGCCGUGCAAUAGCCUCUACAAGCAACCACAGCACAGGCCACUGAGGUACUCACAGACACCAAUGAUGCUGAUUAUAGCUGAAGAAAUCAGAGACUACAUUACUGCCCCCAUACUGAACCAAAGCCAAAGCACCCUAUCCAACUGUAUAUUUAUGAUACAUAUACAUACACAUAUACAGAAAAACAUUUUUCCCUAUGAAAGCUACUCCAUAAAAUCAGAAGAGGCAAUGUCCCACCAGACGCAUGGACAUCAACAUACGGAAACAAGAAAUAUGGAAAAGUAAGGAAACGUGAUACCUUCAAAGGAACACAAUAAUUCUCUAAGUAACAGGCCCCAAAGGAAAACCAAUCUAAAAUCACCUGAAAAAAUGCAAAAUAAUAAUCUUAAGGAAACCUGGGAAGAUACGAGAGAACACAAAUAGAUUCAAUGAAAUCAGAAAAACAAUUCAUAAUCUGAAUGAGAAAUUUUUAAAAAUAGAUAUCAUUAAAAAGAACGAAACAGAAAUGUUAGAACUGAAUAACUCAGUGACUGAAAUAAAAAUAAAAUUGAGAACUUCAAUAAUAGACUAGAUCAGGCAGAAGAGUUUCUGAACUUGAAGGCAGUUCUUUUAAAAUAAUCCAUUUAGGGAGAAUGCGGGGGAAAAAAUGGCAGAUAAGAGGCAGGACUAACCUGCAGCUCCCACUCAGACAAAGCCAUGUGUGGAGACUCACAUCAUGAACUUGCUCCAAGAACUACUGCAGGAACAUACCAGGAAAGCCAAGAGAAACCACAGACCCUUUGAAGGAGGCGGAUUGCCGCUGCAGGCCCUGUGGGACAGCUGAGGAACUUUGAGUUGGCUUGCUUUCUCAGUUGGGAGGCUUGUAGCCUGGGGCAAGUUCUCAGCACUGCUUUUCUCUACCCGUCCUGGAAGCCCAAG